CCUCCAGCUCCACACUGUGUAAACACAUGUGGCACUAGUUCAAGAUCCAAACUCUCAAAAAAGGUUAGUGUAUUUAAAUUACACACUUUUCAUCACAACACUAUUACCACUGUGCAUCGACUGUUGCUGGUGGUUAAUGGCUUGCCAGUUAAGCAGACUGCUUUGUCUUGAAUGGUGUUAGGUUUCGUGCGCGUUGUAGCUCCAAGUGGAGAGUGUUCCAUCAUACUCCUGACUAUUACCUCAUAGAUUGACAAACUUUGAGGAGUGAGGAGGUCAGUCACUCUCAGUAGAAUUCCAUUUCUAGUCAGUGGAAAUACCCAGAAUGUUAAUAAUAAGAGAUAAAUGCCAUUGAAUGUUGGGUAGCAGGCUAGAUUUUAUUUUCUUAGAGAUGUUCAUUAUCUGGCAGUUGUGUGGCACAAAUGUAUUUUGCUACUUAUCAGAUAAGCCUGAUUGUUGUCCAGGCCUUGUCACAUAUGGACAAGAAUUAAGUAUCUGAGGAGUUGUAAAUUGUGCAGAGCAUCAUGUAAUCAUAAGUAAUCUUGAAAUUACAUGCUUACUAUUUGUUGUACAUUCAGUAUAUCAUUAUUCCAUAGUUAAUUCCCUAUUUGCAUCAACAAUGACUCCUUUAGCCUACUUAAUUUUGGCAUUAUGGGCUCUACAUUCUAACAUGGCUAUUGCCAAUGUCACCACGAGACCCUUUGACAGGGACGGAUAGCUCAGUCAAACCAUCAGUAUUCCCACUCUGGCCUUAUGAUGGAGAGAAGGUUAUUGAUGAAGCAGAUGAAGAUGAUUGGGUCAAGAAUACUAUUGUGAGGAUCUCCAAUAAUAAUGUCCCUGGGCUAAGAUUAUUGAUCUCUAAUGACUACAACUACCUUCCUUUGUACUAGACAUGACUCUAACCAGCAGAGAGUUUUGCUCUGAUUCCCACUAACUUCAGUUUUGCUGAGGCUCCUGGAUUCCAUUCUUAAUGUAUUACUGCCUUGAUGCCAAUGGCAGUCAUAGUCAUUUUCACUCAUAGGUUCAGCUCUUUGGUACUUGUUUGAACCAAGGCUGUAGUGAGGUCAGGAGCUAUACUGAGGACAUUGCAAAUGAAGCAGUGGAAUUUCUCGCCAUAUAUAUUAACUUGAUUUUUAAACAAUUGUUGGAAAUUUCAACUAGAAAGAUAUAUAACAAAACUUAAAACCAUCAAAAGUUGGGAUGAAAUCUGGGGACUGGACAUGAUGUUGAAUAAAUAAAGGCUGCAUAGUGUGUAUAAUGAUAGCAAGGUCAGAGAGGUUGUACAGGGUGGGGAUGAUGUGUUGAUUAUUUUAGGAUUUUUUCCUUGGCCUUUUGCUUUGCGUCAACAUGAAUUACCUUGGAAGUGGGCAUCCACUUGUCAGUGAUCAAACAGUUUUGAAAUUGAGUAGAAAGGCCAAUGAGUUCACUUAACUUUUUGAAGAAGUAUUUAAAUCAGCUUUGCAAUUGAGUAAAUAAAUUAAGUUCUACCAAUAAACAUAUUGAGUGAAAAAUGAAAGAUCUGUUUUCUGGUAUUGGUUUGAAGGAUAAAUGUUGGCUAAGAUACCCUGCUCUUCUAAUUCUCCUUUCAGGACAUCAACUCUUCACAACAUACAUAGUGACCUGGAGUAGCAAUCUCAAAAUACUGACGCUGAUUAAAUGUUUCUUUAAUCCACAGCGCAAUCUCAGACACUUCAAUUUAUCUUACUGUCAAUUGUGAUCGUCUUUAUCUGUGCUGUUAUGAUCAUGCUGCUGGUUUACUUGAAAAAAGUUGCAGAAAAAAACAAGAAAAAGCCGUAUUGAGACUGUAAAAGAGGAUUCAGCGAGAAGUUACGUUAUCCUACGGAAGUGGACUGUAGGACCUGAUUUAUUGUUUUGUUGAACCCUCCCCUGAAGCUGUGAUAUUCCAACUCUAUCCAUCAAACCACAACCUGACCCUGAAGGAUGCUCUCUAUCUUCAAGGACUGGUUAUGACAAUGGUCCCCAGUGAGAGUGUUCACAGUUUGAAACCUGGAAAUUGAGCAUUGUGGAACGGUGACAUCAUUGAGAUGGUAAAACCUUUCAGCCAAUAUGUCCCUGCCUACUGAUAUGGCCAAGACAUUUCUUCUGUGCAGUCUGUCCACAUUGUUUUGAAUGUUAGCAUUAACCCAUUCUUUUAUAACUUGGCUGAAGUGUUACAUUUUAUUCAGUUCCGUUCCGUUUUUUCCCCAAAACUUCCAUCUCCUCAUGUUCACGUUCUUUUUCAAAGAAGGCGAUUAUAAGGAGAGCACGUUCCUUGUAACGGUAUGAAGGUGGUGGAUAUUAAAUGGGGAUUCAUUGUAAAUAGGAAAAGACUGAAACUACAGUUGUUGAGUUAGGAGAUGCGUGCUUGUAAUGCAUUACUCUGCAAAUAAAGGGUCAUAGAAUAUGCACCAGUCCUAUCCCUCACUGCCUGACAUCCUGGAAUGGAGCAGGACCCAUUGUUCAAAUGCACACGUUGCAUAUGAGGCCCAGUAGGUCACAGAGGGUGGGGUAAAUGCCAUCUGUACCACAGUGGUGUGCCAGAAGGUGUAGCAGCAGCUACAAAACCAGCACACAACCUAGGCCUGGCCUGAUUUUCCUUCCACCCAGUUCACUGGUGGAACAAUUGAGCUCUGUUUGAAAUCUGUGACCCUGAUUUAUUCUCUUUUCCGCAUGCUCUCAGGUAGUUCUUUACACAGAUACCGUUGCUGAUUGACUCCAGGGUCUCUCAGUAUUUAUCUGCUGCAGCCUAAACGUUACUCAAUGUUGGAAUUUUGUGGGAAUAUAGCACAUUUUGUAGUUUAAUUUCAAAGAGCUGAUUUUUCCAACUGAGGUUUUGCUCAGAACUCACUGUUGUAUUAUCCCAUGCUCUUUGUCACUGUUUGGAUGCCCUGCUUUACUAUGAGACCAGCUGGAAGCUAAACUAAGUGCCGCCCUGAAACCAAAUGUUUGGAACCAUGCAUAUCACCUUGUGGUUCCCAACCCUUUCCCUUUGUCCUGGGAUUCUUCACGAGUUAAAGAUCAAUCUCCUGGACACUGCUUCAGGCAAAUUGGGAGAAAGAAACAGAACAGCAUUAAUAGGGAUUUUUUUUUUCUCUCAUUUUGUGGAAGACUUGCAUUCUGUCCUCAAAGAAACGUAUGUGGAUUUGGAGAGAAAAGGAAGGUCUUCUUUGACCAGUCAGAGGGGUGGGAGAGUCACUUAUUAAAUUUCCUGGACAAUGCCCAAGCGGAGCUGGCAAAAGCCAUUCCAAGUGAAUUUAUUCCCAUCCCCAUCCCCCCAAUCCUCACCAAAUCCCACCUCCCAGUGGCUCCAUAGCUGAUUCCCAGUCUGAACAGCACUGUAAAAGUAUUGUCAUCACCAGAGGGAUUUCACUGAUUCAAGGAGAGAGCACACCAUCACCAACUCAGCGCACUCAGCGACGGACAGUAAAUGCACCCUUGCCAGCGUCACCCAUGCCCUGAGAACUGGAAUAAAUAUCGGAAAAACUCACUACUACCUCGAUCUCUCAACGCUUGCUUGCCACCUCCCUUGUUUUGAUGACUGAGUUCCAACAAUCUUAUUGGCUUUGUUGGCUGCAUGUGCUGAGCUUUGAAUCAACCAGGGCUCCUAGCUCUUGUUCAUUUUCUUCUUCAGCUAUUUAAAGGUCUUCCAUGGGCUCGGGUAUGUUGCGCCUUUCUCCUUGCAGUAUGUGCUAGUCUGCAUUACACCUCAUGGCCAACUGCUCUGCCUGUUUGCACAUUCUGCCCACCCCAUAGUGCCACUUCCGAGGCUGCCUGGUAAAACUCCACUGUCUCUCACUUUGGUUUGGUAUCAUCUGCAGAUCUGACCACUUUACACCAAGAUUCUGAAAUCCGGCCACCCAAUCCAGCUGUCUCAGUACAAAUUAGUCUGAUGUUGAAAAUGUGCCUCAGCUUUGGUGACAGGGAAUCUAGCUAAAAUACAGCAGAAUACCACCAGGGGGUGAGCUUUACAAGCACUUGUUGCUUUCUCCCAUUCUUGUACUGCAGUUGUGACAACAUUUUCUGCUCUUUUUAAUUGUUCCAUCUCCAGAGGUAAAUUGUUUACAUUGUCAAUGAAGGUAAUUUGCUUACCUGUGUACAUUACUCUAUCUGGCAUACAGUUUUUUUGUAAAAGGAACAUCAAUGUAGUAAGAAAGAGCUGUACACAUUCCCUGAUGUAAUGAAUCGAAUGAAGACUUGUUUUUACUGAGUUUGUAAGAGUGAUCGGUAAUGUACAGCCGUUAUUAUUCGGUACUUGGUUAUUUCACUGGAAUAAAUGCGUUAGUUCUAUGACCUGUCAGACUUAACAUUGGUACAAAAAUAAAUGCAAAUAACAAUUAAA